UUAAAUUGAGAGUUUGAUCCUGGCUCAGGACGAACGCUGGCGGCGUGCCUAACACAUGCAAGUCGAGCGAUGAAACCCUUCGGGGUGGAUUAGCGGCGGACGGGUGAGUAACACGUGGGUAACCUGCCUCAAAGAGGGGAAUAGCCUCCCGAAAGGGAGAUUAAUACCGCAUAAUAUGUUUUGRUCGCAUGAUUGAAACAUCAAAGGAAUUUUCUUUUAGAGAAUUCCACUUUGAGAUGGACCCGCGGCGCAUUAGCUAGUUGGUGAGGUAACGGCCCACCAAGGCAACGAUGCGUAGCCGACCUGAGAGGGUGAUCGGCCACAUUGGAACUGAGACACGGUCCAGACUCCUACGGGAGGCAGCAGUGGGGAAUAUUGCGCAAUGGGGGAAACCCUGACGCAGCAACGCCGCGUGAAUGAUGAAGGCCUUCGGGUUGUAAAGUUCU
rnacentral:rRNA from 1 species